rnacentral:lncRNA from 1 species
UCUUUACAACAAACAUAUAUUUAUCUUAGUGAUAAUUUGAAGGAGUUUAGAAUCAAGGAUGAGUGAUCCACCAAAGUAUGCACACCCCUACCCUGCUCAAGGUUAUUAUCAAGGUCCUCCAGUGAUGCCUCCACCACCUCAAUAUUAUUAUGCAGCUCCUCCUCCAAGAAGGGAACCUGGCUUUCUUGAGGGAUGGUAUGUGCAAUUACUUUUUAUUUUUUUCAAAUUUUGAAUAUAGUAUUUAUUUAAAUCUUGAAUUCGUGUCUCUAUUUACUUACGUUGGUGCAGUCUGGCAGCUUUGUGUUGCUGUUUCCUGAUUGAUGAGUGUUGCUGUGACCCUUCUAUCCUCUUCAUCUGUUGAUAAAAUAUUUUAUUUCUCUCGGAUAUAUAAUAUUAGUACUAUUGUAUUUGUAUUAUUAGAUAGAUCUCUCGGAAUGUUACUCUUUGUUCAUUGCUUCAAAGUUGAUUGUUUCGGGUUUUUAUUAUAUUUGAGUUUUAAUUUUGUUUCUCCGAAAAAAGUGAAAAUAGCAAUUAUUUUUAGAAAUAUAUAAAUCUCUUUCAAAAAUGUUAGGGAUUUUUAUAAAUUAAAGAUCAUUCUUCUCAUACCAUAGUGCAAUAUCAUUCAUUAGUCACUUAUAACGUUUUGUUAUAUCAGGAGAAGAUUUUAAAAUUUAGAUUUUACAUUAAUUUUCUUUUAUAUAUAUGCCUCUAUUAAAUGACCAAACAAUAUAUUAAGGAUGUUUUAGAAUAAUUUUCUUUAUCAUUUGAUUUAUUUCCACUAUAUUAAAUUUAAAUUACUCAAGCCAGUAAUCUCCACAAAAAAUUAGAAAAGCUAUGCCUAAUUUUCAACUUAGGGUGAGAGAAUAAUUAUGUUUGAAAGGGAACACAAAGUAGUUUUGGGUCCUCCAUGUCUCCAUCAAGUUUGAAUUUUCCAGAUAAACAAAGAAUGAACCAGAAACACUUUAUUGUACAACUUGACUUUUUUGCACCAAAAAAUAAUUUGAAUUCUCAAUCAAAUGGAAAAUAUUGUUUCUUACGGAGUGGUGUCUCUUUUAAAUUAAAACAUGAUUAUGGAAAUUAUUUUAUUUUGUAUGAAAUCAUACUUAUAUGAGACAUUAUUUAAUUAAUAAAUGGGAUGAGACCCAAAGUGAUAAGUGAC